CGAAGAGUUUUGCUUGUAUAGCUAAUGAGGAGGAAAAUACAUCCGGUUCUAAAGUUGGUCGAAUCCAACUAUUCGACAUGACACGUACGAAGAAGGAUGGCCUCCUAUGACUACUGAAGCUGCAGAAAUUAUGG